rnacentral:rRNA from 1 species
AUUGAACGCUGGCGGCAUGCUUUACACAUGCAAGUCGAGCGGCAGCGCGGGGGCAACCCUGGCGGCGAGCGGCGAACGGGUGAGUAAUGCAUCGGAGCGUAUCCUCGAGUGGGGGAUAACCCAGCGAAAGUUGGGCUAAUACCGCAUGAGCUCUGAGGAGGAAAGCGGGGGACCUGCGAGGGCCUCGCGCUGGAGGAGCGGCCGAUGUCCGAUUAGCUAGUUGGUGGGGUAAAGGCUUACCAAGGCGACGAUCGGUAGCUGGUCUGAGAGGAUGAUCAGCCACACUGGGACUGAGACACGGCCCAGACUCCUACGGGAGGCAGCAGUGGGGAAUUUUGGACAAUGGGGGCAACCCUGAUCCAGCCAUGCCGCGUGAGUGAAGAAGGCCUUCGGGUUGUAAAGCUCUUUCGGACGGAACGAAAUGGGCGGGACUAAUACUCCUGUCUGAUGACGGUACCGGAAGAAGAAGCACCGGCUAACUACGUG